AUUCGGCCCUAUUGCACUGUUUUAGUUUUAGCUAUGAUUUACACAUAUGGAAUUUGCAUGCAAUUACUACAGACAAAGAACUCUGUUUUUUUUGUUUUUUUUUUGUCUUCAGUAGUAUUAGUUGAAAGCAGCUGUGCUAAUGGAGCAGCAGAGACUAACGGAGCAGGUUUUCAUAGGCCAGUCUCCAUUCUCUCUGCCUGUCAAAGCAUGUUUGGGCAUCUGGCAAUGAUUUGAAUCCCUCAAGUCAAGCUUCAGUUACAGGGUGGGUCCUGAACAACAGGGUCCUGAAAAACC